rnacentral:rRNA from 1 species
AUUGAACGCUGGCGGCAUGCCUUACACAUGCAAGUCGAACGGCAGCACGGGUGCUUGCUCCUGGUGGCGAGUGGCGAACGGGUGAGUAAUAUAUCGGAACGUACCUUAUUGUGGGGGAUAACGCAGCGAAAGCUGUGCUAAUACCGCAUAAUCCCUAAGGGGGAAAGCGGGGGACCGUAAGGCCUCGCGCAAUUAGAGCGGCCGAUACCUGAUUAGCUAGUUGGUGAGGUAAAGGCUCACCAAGGUAACGAUCAGUAGCUGGUCUGAGAGGACGAUCAGCCACACUGGGACUGAGACACGGCCCAGACUCCUACGGGAGGCAGCAGUGGGGAAUUUUGGACAAUGGGGGCAACCCUGAUCCAGCAAUGCCGCGUGAGUGAAGAAGGCCUUCGGGUUGUAAAGCUCUUUUGUCAGGGAAGAAACAGCAGCUCUAACACAGUUUGCGAAUGACGGUACCUGAAGAAUAAGCACCGGCUAACUACGUGCCAGCAGCCGCCGUAA